rnacentral:rRNA from 1 species
UACGUAGGGGGCAAGCGUUGUCCGGAAUCAUUGGGCGUAAAGAGCGUGUAGGCGGCCCGGUAAGUCCGCUGUGAAAGUCGGGGGCUCAACCCUCGAAUGCCGGUGGAUACUGUCGGGCUAGAGUGCGGAAGAGGCGAGUGGAAUUCCUGGUGUAGCGGUGAAAUGCGCAGAUAUCAGGAGGAACACCGAUGGCGAAGGCGGAUCUCUGGGCCUUACCUGACGCUCAGGCGCGAAAGCUAGGGGAGCGAACUGG